AAAGGGGUUAAUCAAAUACUCACUACUCAUAAGGUAGGUUAUUUUUGGUUGUGUUCAAAAUCAGCAAAGUGCCUUGAUCAUUUCAAUACUUUCACAAAUUUACAAUAAUUACAAGAUUAAACAUGAAUUAACCGAGUUAAACACAAAGUCAUCAGUCAUCCAUAGCAAUAUAGUGAGCAAUAAAGAGUUUCUCAUAAUUUAUGGUCUAGAUCUAAGUGAUUCAAGAAUUUGAAACAAAUUUACAAAAUGGAGUAAGAAUUGACAUUUGC
rnacentral:lncRNA from 1 species